UGCCAGCCGCCGCGGUAAUACGAAGGGGGCGAGCGUUAUUCGGAAUUAUUGGGCGUAAAGGGCUCGUAGGUGGUUAGAAAAGUUAGUGGUGAAAUCCCAAGGCUUAACCUUGGAACUGCCACUAAAACUUUUUAACUAGAGUAUGAUAGAGGUAAGCGGAAUUUCUAGUGUAGAGGUGAAAUUCGUAGAUAUUAGAAAGAACACCAAUUGCGAAGGCAGCUUUCUGGAUCAUUACUGACACUGAGGAGCGAAAGCAUGGGUAGCGAAGAGGAUUAGAUA
rnacentral:rRNA from 1 species